UAAAAGUUUACAUGUGUUGUAUUUCUUUUGUGAUGGGAUUUUCUUCUUUGACGGCGCUGGAGAUUUUGUUGACUUCUUUAGCUACUCGACUAAGUUUGCAUUGAAAGUAGAUGGUAUACUUUAGCUGUGAUUGGAGAAAAACCGAAUCAGAUACUUGGUUAAAGCCUUACCAGAAGGUCAAAA